GAAGUAAAAGUCGUAACAAGGUUUCCGUAGGUGAACCUGCGGAAGGAUCAUUAAUGAAUUCACUAUGGAGUUGUUGCUGGCCUCUAGGGGCAUGUGCACGCUUCACUAGUCUUUCAACCACCUGUGAACUUUUGAUAGAUCUGUGAAGUCGUCCUUCAAGUCGUCAGACUUGGUUUGCUGGGAUUUAAACGUCUCGGUGUGACAACGCAGUCUAUUUACUUAACACACCCCAAAUGUAUGUCUACGAAUGUCAUUUAAUGGGCCUUGUGCCUAUAAACCAUAAUACAACUUUCAACAACGGAUCUCUUGGCUCUCGCAUCGAUGAAGAACGCAGCGAAAUGCGAUAAGUAAUGUGAAUUGCAGAAUUCAGUGAAUCAUCGAAUCUUUGAACGCACCUUGCGCCCCUUGGUAUUCCGAGGGGCAUGCCUGUUUGAGUGUCAUUAAAUUCUCAAACUCACAUUUAUUUGUGAUGUUUGGAUUGUUGGGGGUUGCUGGCUGUAACAAGUCGGCUCCUCUUAAAUGCAUUAGCAGGACUUCUCAUUGCCUCUGCGCAUGAUGUGAUAAUUAUCACUCAUCAAUAGCACGCAUGAAUAGAGUCCAGCUCUCUAAUCGUCCGCAAGGACAAUUUGACAAUUUGACCUCAAAUCAGGUAGGACUACCCGCUGAACUUAAGCAUAUCAAUAAGCGGAGGA
rnacentral:rRNA from 1 species